rnacentral:lncRNA from 10 species
AGUUUCCAUGGUCUUUUGGAACAGGAUCAUUUGUAAGUUGGGGCCUGCUUGUCUGCUGAGCAGGGAGGUUGCAGCUGGGCAGGUCAGACAGAGAGCCAGCAUUUCACAAUCGAAUAAACUGGAGCCUGCUGUGGUUGACUUGUCUGUACUAGUGACACAACUCCAACUACAGCCCAGGUCCCCAGGACUCUACAGUUCUAAUUUAGUAGCCUUACCUUCAUAACUAAUGCUGUUCAAUGAAAUAAGAAUAGUGAUGUGCAUUUAAUGGGCUGAACAGCACAAUAUGCCACUGAAAUGCUUAAUUUUAAAAAAGACAAUAGAAUCUGAAUUUAUGAACAGUAUUGGCCAACUAGAGAUUGGUAAUUGCAAGCUGUCUUGUCUUCAUGAGCUGCAUGGUGGGGGUGAAGCAGAGGCUGAAUGACAUUUUGUCAUUCUUUAUAAAGGAAUCUAAAUAUCAAGUAGGAGGAGGUGGAAGAAGAGAGGAAAAUGGGGAGAUCUUCAAGACUCCUCCAAAUGCAAGAUUAUUUUGUUCGACACUGCUUAAUCUUAAAAUUGAUCAUAGUAUCAAUAACUUGUUGUCUUUUUCCUUUUAGGUAUUGCAACAACCCAAAUCAUAAUAAUUCCUCAUUGACAAAGAUUGAUUUGUACAAUCUGCCCUGAAUUGUUCAGAGUAUUAAGGACCUGGCCAGCUGUGGGACUAACCAAGGAAGGUGAAAUGA